rnacentral:rRNA from 1 species
CAAAGCAUUCGCACGGGAUCGUACACCCAAGAUGAGUACACUUUGAUUUGCGAGAGUUGGAUGGAGAUAGGCCAAGAUCCCAUGAAAGGUGCCGAGAAAAAAAGAUCUGUCUUUUGGACAAGAGUUCACAAGAACUUUCAUGAGCGAAGGAAGUUUGCCCCCUACCAAUUUACGAGCACACACGGCAUCAACGCAAUCCAAAAGAGAUGUGGGUUCAUCUAA